rnacentral:lncRNA from 1 species
GCCGCCCGCCCGCGCCGCGGCCGCGCCGUGCUGGGCAGCGGCAGGGCCGAGUCCUGCGGUGUUUGAAUAAACACCCGCGCCUCCCCAGCUCAGCCCGGCGCAACUUCUCGCUGCGCGGGUGCGGACCGCGCAUCCUUCAGGCGCGUGUGUGCGCGCACGUCCCGCUCCCGCGCAGCCCCGCGGUGCGGAGCCUCGGGACGGAGGCGCGGCUCGCUGCGCGCCGCGGAGCCGCCGCCGGUGCCCGUCUCCUGAGAACAUUUUUUCUGAGUGACUCCGGCUUCCAGACACAUUUGCCAUGAGAAGGGUUCCAAUCCUUUCCUGUAUUUGCCCUGAGUCAUGAAUGGAUAUGUGUGAUGCCUGCAAGUAAAACUGGUGAGUUGUCAAGCCUGAGUUUGCAAUAACUCUCACUUACUCUUUCAUGCAAAUUAUCUUUCCCUCAUUUUUUUUCCCUCUCCUUUUUAAUGUGGUGGUGGGGGGGUUGUAUUGUCUUUGUUUUAAAGCAAAUCACCACUGUUCUUAAAAAACCCAAAGCAACCAUCAUUGUCAUGAAAUAGCAGA